GAGGAUCAUGCGGCAUCAGAUGGGGAGGCCCCUUGCAGUGCCUCUGGGGCCCCGUGGCACCCCCACCCCUCCCCUGCGCCCCACUUCCUGCAGCCACUUUGGAGCCAGAGACAAAGGCCCGCUCUGGGUGGAAGGUGCGGCCAGUGGGGAUGUGUGCUGGUGCCUGGCUGGCGGGUCCUGAUAAGAGGCCUAGGCUCCCUGUGAAUCAGCAGGAGGUGCUGGGAGCUGGGGGAAGAUAGGGUACGCUGGCGCCUGUCUCUUCUGCCUCUGCGUGCCCCCUCUGGGACCUCCCCAAGCCCUCUCGGAUGGUGAGAGAUCCCGUGGCAAAUGCCAGACCUAUAGAGAGAGCCUUGUGUAACUAUGGUGACUCCUGUCCCAUUAUGUGUUUGCAAGGCUGGGGAAUGUUCUGGCCCCAACAGACCCGAGAUUCAGAAGGCCGUGGGACCCUCGGGUCCUCUCCUGGCUUGCAGGACAAUGUGUAGGAUGGGACACGUGUGGGUUUCUGGAAGUCAAAGGUCUCCCUUCCCGGCAAACUGUCAUCGCCCACUUCCAAGCUGGAGUGAUUGAGGCCUGGGAAGCUUGCUUGGGUCGUGGGAUGCUCAGGGCAGUGAUCGCUCUGCCAUAAGCAGGACUCAAGUGGGUCAGGUGGGUCAGGGCUUCACCACUCUUUUGGAGAUUUGUGGCAUAGGGGUUUGCUGAGGGAGAGAGCCGCAGCUGGCCGAGGCAAAACUUCCAUUUCCUCGUCUACCUUCCUGGUACUGCCUGCCUUCAUCAUCAGGGGGUCCCAAAAGGCAACAUGUAGGGUGCUUGGGAGCUCACGCUCCAGGGCCACAGGGCAGCCUGGCCCCUCCCAUGGCUCAUCUGUCCUAAAAAGGUAGGAAUAAUGGUAGUCUGACCUCAUGGGAAUGAGUUAAUAAUACAGGAAUAUAGUAAAUGCUCCAUAAGUGGGUAAUAUUGUUACCCAGUCCUCUGAGACACACCCCUCGUCUCUGUCCAUCUGGCUCUGUUGUGUUCUCCGGACUCCCUCAGCCGCUGCCACUCUUACGGAGUGGGCUGGCCUCAUGCUAGUGCUCUCCUGAAAUUAAAGACUGGGGUUGAGCUCUCACGCCUACUUGCAAAAAGCUCAAAGUUUGCCAGGCUGCAGGUGACACUACCUGGGGAGUGGGCGGGCCC